rnacentral:rRNA from 1 species
AUGUACGCUACUAUUGCUGCAUCACCCUUUCCUCUUCAAGGAAAACCAACGCAAGCUCAAGACGUAGCAAGAAGGAUUUCUGGCGCCGUUGCCGGGGAGGUCUUCGCUCAAGUCAAGACAUACCAAGUACCCAUCACAAACUCAUCUCCCUCGCAUUUACAUUAUUUGCCAUUUGCCUCUCGUUUUCCUCUCCCCCACUUCACCCUUGCUGUUUUAUUCGCCCUCUCUUUCCCAAUCUUCUCCUCUCUUUUUCGCUUGCCUUUUUCUGUUCGCUUGUGUGUUGGAUUACUUGUUGCCAUGGCGCAAGAUAAUACCAAAUUGUGUGAUUUCUCCGAUACCAAUAAUAAUGAUUUCCUUAGUACUCCUAUUGCUCCUCUUAAUGAUGUUGAGUCUUGUGAAAUCAAUACUGCUUUGCUGAAUCUUGUUAUGAAAGAUCAAUUCGCCGGCUUCCUAGUGAAGAUGCCGCUACCCAUCUAA